GGAAGGAGGUUUGGGGGAUGCACAGCCUGGUUUGCACAUCCCCUCACCCCUGAAUUCUGGAAUUCUGGGUGUCCCUCUUUCCCUGCUGGGUCUGCAGCCUCCAGUGAGGUCAGAUCAGAGAGAAGAACAUGAUUAUCUGGAAGAUGGUUUCAUUGUGAUCUUUGUUUUCUGGUUUCCUGCCAGUUUAAAUUUUCUGGUAAURAAAAGUACAAAAGCUGARGUUAUCAAAGAGAAAAACUGAAUGRUGCUGCUCAGUGGUUUGUCCUGCUGAAUCCUGGGCUGGGGAAACAUUUGCAUUAUUUUGGGGUUUAUUCUUGCUUUCUCACUACUUUUGGAGUUUCUAACUUUAUUAAAAUCUAUAUAAAGAGUGAUAAAUUCCUAGAAUCAUUUGCUGAAUGUGAAUCAAACCUUUCAGAUAGUUAGCUUUUAAUCCAGAGUGGAUCAGGUGUCCUUCUGGUGACCUCUGAGAUGCUCUGGCAGCACGCUGCCUGUUUUUAGGGAUGGUGGCAUUCCUGAAACCUUGUUGCAGACUUCUGUACUCACAGUACAGAACCAGCUCCUAAAUAAUCUGAUUUAUGAGAAAGGAAAACCCUCAGUUGCAGUUGUUACAGUAUGUUAUAAACYGUUUCUUUGUCUUCCCAAUUUGUUUGGAAUCAACAAGAAUUUKCGAGCUGUCAGCCACUCCAGGAAGGGAAAAAAGUAAACAAGGACAAGGGUGGAGCCCUCUGAAGGUUGAAAUAUUUCUCCUCAGUGCUGUGACCCAGCUCCAAGCAUUUUUGCAGAGCUCAUUUUGCUAUAAAUGGGUUUUGCCUUGCUGGGAAAAGAGCUCAGAGCAGCCGUGCAGUGAAAGGGGCCCUGCACUGGUCCUGUCGUGGGUGAGCUCGGGGCAGAUCCAGGGGGACAAAAAGGGCUCCCCAUCCUCUCCCUGCUCUGCAGCACCUCCAGAUCCUCCUGCAGGCUGUUAAUUUAGUUAUUCCCAAGUUUUCUCCCACUUUUCCAAAGUGAGGAAAUUGUUGUUUCAUUGCCGUGCUCCUCUGGAGCCUGUGCUGGUGAUAAACUGAAUUUCCAGCUCUCUUAUUUUCUGCAGAYUGAUGGCAGCUCUGUGUCUCUUCUUCCAUAAGCAGCUGCUUAUGAAGAAACAUUUAAUAAAUGCAGGCAGUUUAAUUGAAUUUCUGCAACUGCAGCCACAAGGAAGGAGUUGUCAGCUCCCCAGCCUGCCUCAGUUUGGACAAGCUUGUGUUUUAUUGCUUGGAUUUUUCAGCUUGUGUUUCUUCACUUUGCAGAUCUUUUAUGACCUGGUCAGACAGAUAAAUAGAAAAACACCAGUGGAAAAGAAGAAGCCUAAAAAGAAAUCAUGUCUGCUGCUUUAGACUCCCAUCACGCAGCAGCUCUGAGCCAGAUUGCAGGAAUGAAGAACUGUUGCCUAAAUGGAAAGUGCCAGCAUUCCCAACUUCAAAACCUUACGGAAAUGAGUAACAUAUCGGAAGAAGCUUCUCCUGUUUUUUUUAUAUACUACGAGAAGAAUUUAGAUCUUAAAAAUGGUUUGCACACAGUCCCUGGAAGAAGCAGUUGCUCUGUGUAUAUCUCUUGGAAAUUUAAGCCAAUAUUUCUCCUCCUUUGCAAUAGCAAUUAACAGAUGUGAAAAUAAAUAUAAUUGACUCUAGCAUAUGAUUAUCCCAAGGAGCAUGGAUGCAUUUCAAAUGUUAGAGAUUGCUACUAUAAUUAAAAUUCAUAUUGACCAUUUUAUCAUCAUUUCUCCCCAUCAAGCACUAAAAAWGUUCCACUGUUAUAUUUUAUAUCUAUAACUAUAGAUAUAUAUUAUCCAAAAUUUCCCUUUGAACUCACUGCAACAAAUAACUUUUUGAGUCAUUGACUUCAUUUUAUAUUUAAAAGUUACGGAAUAUCAUUAUUUUCAUUCUGCCAUUAUAUUCUAAUUAAAAAUGUUUGUGCAUAAUGCUUUGGAAAAAUGGGUCUUUUAUAGGAAAAAAAACUGGGAUAACUGAUUUCUAUGGCUUUAAAAGCAAAAAUAUAUAAUAUACUAAACCAACUCUAAUAUUGCUUCUUGUGUUUUACUGUCACAGAUUAAAUUACAGCUUUUAUGAAUGAUUAAAUUUUAGUACAUUUUCA